rnacentral:rRNA from 1 species
GACGAACGCUGGCGGCGUGCUUAACACAUGCAAGUCGAACGAUGAAGCCGGAGCUUGCUCUGGUGAAUUAGUGGCGAACGGGUGAGUAACACGUGAGUAACCUGCCCUUGACUCUGGGAUAACUGCUAGAAAUGGUAGCUAAUACCGGAUACGACCCUCGGCGGCAUCGCCAGGGGGUGGAAAGAAUUUCGGUCAAGGAUGGACUCGCGGCCUAUCAGCUAGUUGGUGAGGUAACGGCUCACCAAGGCGACGACGGGUAGCCGGCCUGAGAGGGUAACCGGCCACACGGGGACGGAGACACGGCCCAGACUCCUACGGGAGGCAGCAGUGGGGAAUAUUGCACAAUGGGCGCAAGCCUGAUGCAGCAACGCCGCGUGAGGGAUGACGGCCUUCGGGUUGUAAACCUCUUUUAGUAGGGAAGAAGCGAAAGUGACGGUACCUGCAGAAAAAGCACCGGCUAACUACGUGCCAGCAGCCGCCGUAA